UCCCGUUGAUCCUGCGGGAGGCUGCUGCUAUUAGAAUUCGAUUUAGCCAUGCAAGUCAGAGAGCAAUCUCGGCGAAAUGCUCAGUAACACGUCGUUAAUCUGCCUUUAGGCCGGAGAUAACCUUAGGAAACCGAGGAUAAAACCCGAUAGGAAAUGAACUCUGGAAAGAUUCAUUUCUCAAAGGCAUACACCUAAAGAUGAGACGGCGGCCGAUUAGGUUGUUGGCGAGGUAAUGGCUCACCAAGCCUAAGAUCGGUAGAGGCCUUGAAAGAGGGAGCCUCGAGAAGGGCACUGAGACACGGGCCCUAGCCCUACGGGGUGCAGCAGGCGCGAAACCUCCGCAAUGUACGAAAGUACGACGGGGGAAUUCUAAGUGCUUACACUUUGUGUAGGCUUUUUCUAAAAGUAAAAAUUUUGGAGAAUAAGUGGUGGGAAAGACUGGUGCCAGCCGCCGCGGUAACACCAGCGCCACGAGUGGGAGCCAUUAUUGGGCCUAAAGCGUCCGUAGCCGGUUUGAUAAAUCUUUUGUGAAAUCAUUGAGCUUAACUUAACGACGUGCAGAAGACACUGUCAGACUUGGAACUGGGAGGAGUCAGAGGUAUUUCUGGGGGAGCGGUAAAAUGCUAUAAUCCCAGGAGGACCACCUGUGGCGAAGGCGUCUGACUAGAACAGAUUCGACGGUGAGGGACGAAAGCCAGGGGAGCGAUCCGGAUUAGAUACCCGAGUAGUCCUGGCCGUAAACGCUGCGAGCUAGGUGUUGCGUAUUCUUCAUGAAUACGCAGUGUCGAAGAGAAGUCGUUAAGCUCGCCGCCUGGGAAGUACGGUCGCAAGACUGAAACUUAAAGGAAUUGGCGGGGGAGCACUACAAGGGGUGCGGCGUGCGGUUUAAUUGAAUUUUACGCCGGAAAUCCCACCAAAGGCGACGGCAGGAUGAAAGUCAGUCUAAUGGGCUUACUCAACAAGCCGAGAGGUGGUGCAUGGCCGCCGUCAGCUCGUGCCGUAAGGUGUCCUCUUAAGUGAGGCAACGAGCGAGACCUGUACCUACAAUUGCUAACAGCAGAUAUCUGGACUGAGUACAAUGUGGGAACUGCCUUGGAAACAAGGAGGAAGGUGCAGGCUACGGUAGGUCUGUAUGCCCCGAAUCCUUUGGGCUACACGCGCGCAACAAUGGUAAGGACAAUGGGAUGCGACUCCGAAAGGAGAAGCUAAACCUCCAAACCUUAUCUUAGUCCAGAUUGAGGGCUGUAACUCGCCCUCAUGACGAUGGAAUCCCUAGUAAUCAGACGUCAUUAUCGUCUGAUGAAUAUGUCCCUGCUCCUUGCACACACCGCCCGUCAAACCAACCGAGCAGGGUUUAGGUGAGGCCUAGCCUUUUAGCUAAGUCGAAUCUAAGCUCAGUGAGGUGGGUUAAGUCGUCACAAGGUA
rnacentral:rRNA from 1 species